UCGUAGUGCAUCCGGGUAGGCAGCAUGCUUAGAUGUAGCUGGGCAGCCGGCCGCGCGUGCAUGCAGCCAUGCAUGCGGCCAGACCAUGCAAAAGGUCCAUGCACUUAGCCAUGCACAUGGUCUGGACAUGCAUGCGCCUAGAAGCCAUGCACGUGGGCACUUUCUCUUCUUCUUGGGUAGGAUGACUGAUCCGUGGGAGUGCUGGAGCACGGAAGGGCAAGCCGUCCACUGUUUCUAUAUAGGGGUAUCCU
rnacentral:lncRNA from 1 species